rnacentral:rRNA from 1 species
GAUGGACGCUGGCGGCGUGCCUAAUACAUGCAAGUCGAGCGAACGGACGAGAAGCUUGCUUCUCUGAUGUUAGCGGCGGACGGGUGAGUAACACGUGGAUAACCUACCUAUAAGACUGGGAUAACUUCGGGAAACCGGAGCUAAUACCGGAUAAUAUUUUGAACCGCAUGGUUCAAAAGUGAAAGACGGUCUUGCUGUCACUUAUAGAUGGAUCCGCGCUGCAUUAGCUAGUUGGUAAGGUAACGGCUUACCAAGGCAACGAUGCAUAGCCGACCUGAGAGGGUGAUCGGCCACACUGGAACUGAGACACGGUCCAGACUCCUACGGGAGGCAGCAGUAGGGAAUCUUACGCAAUGGGCGAAAGCCUGACGGAGCAACGCCGCGUGAGUGAUGAAGGUCUUCGGAUCGUAAAACUCUGUUAUUAGGGAAGAACAUAUGUGUAAGUAACUGUGCACAUCUUGACGGUACCUAAUCAGAAAGCCACGGCUAACUACGUG